UACAGAGGGUGCAAGCGUUAAUCGGAAUUACUGGGCGUAAAGGGUGCGUAGGUGGUUAGAUAAGUUAGGUGUGAAAGCCCCGGGCUUAACCUGGGAAUUGCGCUUAAUACUGUCUGGCUAGAGUACUGUAGAGGAAGGUGGAAUUUCCGGUGUAGCGGUGAAAUGCGUAGAUAUCGGAAGGAACACCAGUGGCGAAGGCGACCUUCUGGACAGAUACUGACACUGAGGCACGAAAGCAUGGGUAGCAAACAGG
rnacentral:rRNA from 1 species